rnacentral:rRNA from 1 species
AAACGACUCUCGGCAACGGAUAUCUCGGCUCCCGCAUCGAUGAAGAACGUAGCGAAAUGCGAUACUUGGUGUGAAUUGCAGAAUCCCGUGAACCAUCGAGUCUUUGAACGCAAGUUGCGCCCGACGCCUUCCGGCCGAGGGCACGCCUGCCUGGGCGUCGCGA